rnacentral:misc_RNA from 1 species
GAUGAAGAACGUAGCGAAAUGCGAUGCUUGGUGUGAAUUGCAGAAUCCCGUGAACCAUCGAGUCUUUGAACGCAAGUUGCGCCCGAAGCCACUAGGCCGAGGGCACGCCUGUCUGGGCGUCACACGCCGUUGCCCCCCCAUCUACUCCUUCGGGAUUGCGGGGGGGCGGAUGAUGGCCUCCCGUGCGCCUAGCCGCGCGGUUGGCAUAAAUACCAAGUCCUCGGCGACGCACGCCACGACAAUCGGUGGUUGCGAAACCUCGGUUGCCCGUCGUGUGCGUUCGUCGCGCAUCGAGGGCUCGAAAAAAUGCUCGGCUCCGGCUGGGCUUUCAACGCGACCCCAGGUCAGGCGGGGUUACCCGCUGAAUUUAAGCAUAUCAUAAGCGGAGGA